GACGAACGCUGGCGGCGUGCUUAACACAUGCAAGUCGAACGGAAAGGCCCUGCUUUUGUGGGGUGCUCGAGUGGCGAACGGGUGAGUAACACGUGAGUAACCUGCCCUUGACUUUGGGAUAACUUCAGGAAACUGGGGCUAAUACCGGAUAGGAGCUCCUGCUGCAUGGUGGGGGUUGGAAAGUUUCGGCGGUUGGGGAUGGACUCGCGGCUUAUCAGCUUGUUGGUGGGGUAGUGGCUUACCAAGGCUUUGACGGGUAGCCGGCCUGAGAGGGUGACCGGCCACAUUGGGACUGAGAUGCGGCCCAGACUCCUACGGGAGGCAGCAGUGGGGAAUAUUGCACACUGGGCGGAAGCCUGAUGCAGCAACGCCGCGUGCGGGAUGACGGCCUUCGGGUUGUAAACCGCUUUCGCCUGUGACGAAGAGUGAGUGACGGUAAUGGGUAAAGAAGCACCGGCUAACUACGUG
rnacentral:rRNA from 1 species